rnacentral:rRNA from 1 species
UACGGAGGGAGCUAGCGUUGUUCGGAAUUACUGGGCGUAAAGCGCACGUAGGCGGCUUAUUAAGUCAGGGGUGAAAUCCUGGAGCUCAACUCCAGAACUGCCUUUGAUACUGAUGAGCUUGAGUUCGGGAGAGGUGAGUGGAACUGCGAGUGUAGAGGUGAAAUUCGUAGAUAUUCGCAAGAACACCAGUGGCGAAGGCGGCUCACUGGCCCGAUACUGACGCUGAGGCGCGAAAGCGUGGGGAGCAAACAGG